UGUGGGAGCGAGCCUGCUCGCGAUAGCGUCAGUUCAGUCAAUAUAAAUGCCGGCUGAUCCACCGCUAUCGCGAGCAGGCUCGCUCCCACA
rnacentral:misc_RNA from 1 species